rnacentral:rRNA from 1 species
AAGGCCUUCGGGUUGUAAAGUUCUSYCWCAUGGGCCUAAUCCCUCAGGAUUAAUACUCCUUGAGGUUKAAGUCCCAUGAGAGGAAGCACCGGCUAAAUUCGUGCCAGCAGCCGCGGUAAUACGAAUGGUGCAAGCGUUGUUCGGAAUCACUGGGCAUAAAGCGCGCGUAGGCGGUGGCAUAAGUUAGUUGUGAAAUCCCCCGGCUCAACCGAGGAACUGCAACUAAAACUGUGCCGCUCGAGUGUGGGAGGGGAGAACGGAAUUCCUGGUGGAGCGGUGAAAUGCGUAGAUAUCAGGAGGAACGCCGGAGGCGAAAGCGGUUCUCUGGCCCACUACUGACGCUGAGGUGCGAAAGCUAGGGGAGCAAAYAGGAUUAGAUACCCUGGUAGUCCUAGCCGUAAACGAUGAGAACUAGAUGUCGGGAGGAUCUACCUUUCGGUGUCGCAGCUAACGCGUUAAGUUCUCCGCCUGGGGAGUACGCCGGCAACGGUAAAACUCAAAGGAAUUGACGGGGACCCGCACAAGCGGUGGAGCAUGUGGUUUAAUUCGACGCAACGCGAAGAACCUUACCUGCCCUUGACAUUGACAGAAUCCUGUAGAGAUACGGGAGUGCUUCGGCCUGGAAAACAGGUGCUGCAUGGCUGUCGUCAGCUCGUGUCGUGAGAUGUUGGGUUAAGUCCCGCAACGAGCGCAACCCUUGUCCUUAGUUGCCAGCACAUC